CCAUUUUCAGAAAGCAUUAAGCAUCCUGAAAUCUGUACCUUGGAGAGCUUAGCCCAAUUAGGACUAUGUUUAUAAAGCAAUUUGGGCUACACAGAGAUUGAUUUACUCAAAAAGGGAAUUCAAAAGUGCCUUGACACUUGUCUCCCGUGGAUAUGAGCAUCUGUUCUGAAGUGUAACUGUACUCUCAUAACAAUUCCAAGGGUAAUAACUGCAUUUCCUGAAUAGAGCAAAUCCAGGUCCUUCUGUGCGUCCUGUAGGAUUGUCAGCUUUCCCUAAAUACACAAUUAAUUCUGCCAGUAACAGUAGCAGACACUUAUAUGCCCACACAGGGAGUUGUGUUACAUAUGACUUGCCACUGCAUUUAUUUUUCAGUGUUUUAAAUGAGGACAGGGGGAGGUAAAGCAGCUCACUGGACUGAAUGACCCGUCCUGUAUUCCAGGUGCACUUGUGAUGAUUAGUGCCAAAAAACAGGCAGCAGAAGGAGGCCCUUUUAUAGUCAGCUAAUAGAAAGUCCCUGGUCUAAGCAUGAAGAAGACAGUCUAGAUUUGAAAACAAGGAGCUGAGUUUUACUUCCUCUUUUCUUCAACUAAAAUGUGCCGUCUGAACCAAUCUACAAGCUGGGUCAGCCUUUAAGUUGAACAGGGUUUGACUGAGAGCCUGCAGUUAUGUUCAGUUUAGUGAAGAGUUGUACUGGGAGGCAUUAUGUAUUCAGGGUUCUGGUACAGGAUGACUCCACAUGGCAUUUCUGAAAUGCUGAUAGCCACAGGUGGGAAGGUCCCCUGAUUUUCUCCAGGAGCUGCAGGAUACUCAGGCAGAAAUGGACACAGGAAUUGCUACCAGUGAGAAAAAGCUCUGCUCAAAGGAAAAGUGCAGAAGAAACCCUUGGGUCCAGUACCAAACCCUAAUGAAGACUACCAUCAAUUCAAUAAGCUCAGUAUGACACUUUCUUAAUGACUUUAUGCCCUUCGUCAUAAUGCAGCCACAAAACGAAGUGAUAUUCUGAGUGCAGCAAGAAGAUUAAUUCCAACUCUGCAUGCUAAGAGAAAAAUCCACGGCUCUGUCAUUGUGUAAACAAAAAAUGUAAAUAAAGGAAAAAUUAAGAUGUUU
ensembl:lncRNA